UGGGGAAUAUUGCACAAUGGGCGCAAGCCUGAUGCAGCAACGCCGCGUGAACGAUGAAGGUCUUCGGAUCGUAAAGUUCUGUUGCAGGGGAAGAUAAUGACGGUACCCUGUGAGGAAGCCCCGGCUAAAUACGUGCCAGCAGCCGCGGUAAUACGUAUGGGGCGAGCGUUGUCCGGAAUUAUUGGGCGUAAAGGGUACGUAGGCGGUUUUUUAAGUCAGGUGUCAAAGCGUGGAGCUUAACUCCAUUAAGCACUUGAAACUGAAAGACUUGAGUGAAGGAGAGGAAAGUGGAAUUCCUAGUGUAGCGGUGAAAUGCGUAGAUAUUAGGAGGAAUACCGGUGGCGAAGGCGACUUUCUGGACUUUUACUGACGCUCAGGUGCGAAAGCGUGGGGAGCAAACAGG
rnacentral:rRNA from 1 species